rnacentral:rRNA from 1 species
GACGAACGCUGGCGGCGUGCCUAAUACAUGCAAGUAGAACGCUGGAGGAGGAGCUUGCUUCUCUGGAUGAGUUGCGAACGGGUGAGUAACGCGUAGGUAACCUGCCUGGUAGCGGGGGAUAACUAUUGGAAACGAUAGCUAAUACCGCAUAAUAGCAGUUGUUGCAUGACAACUGUUUGAAAGGUGCAAAUGCAUCACUACCAGAUGGACCUGCGUUGUAUUAGCUAGUUGGUGGGGUAAAGGCUCACCAAGGCGACGAUACAUAGCCGACCUGAGAGGGGGAUCGGCCAACCUGCGACUGAGACACGGCCCAGACUCCUACGGGAGGCAGCAGUAGGGAAUCUUCGGCAAUGGACGGAAGUCUGACCGAGCAACGCCGCGUGAGUGAAGAAGGUUUUCGGAUCGUAAAGCUCUGUUGUAAGAGAAGAACGAGUGUGAGAGUGGAAAGUUCACACUGUGACGGUAUCUUACCAGAAAGGGACGGCUAACUACGUG